UUUUCCUACGGGACGCAGCAGUGGGGAAUAUUGCACAAUGGGGGGAACCCUGAUGCAGCGACGCCGCGUGAGUGAAGAAGUAUUUCGGUAUGUAAAGCUCUAUCAGCAGGGAAGAUAAUGACGGUACCUGACUAAGAAGCCCCGGCUAACUACGUGCCAGCAGCCGCGGUAAUACGUAGGGGGCAAGCGUUAUCCGGAUUUAUUGGGUUUAAAGGGUGCGCAGGCGGCCUGUUAAGUCAGCGGUAAAAGCCCGGGGCUCAACCCCGGCGAGCCGUUGAAACUGGCGGGCUGGAGUUGGAGAGAAG
rnacentral:rRNA from 1 species